rnacentral:ncRNA from 1 species
AAAAUUCUAUGUAUAAUUUUUUACUAUUAAUAAAAAUUUUUUAUGGUUUAAAAAAUUUAUUUAAAGUUUAUUUUACAUAUAAAUUUUAGUGUUAAAUAUUAAUUAUUUAAAUAAUAAUUAAUAAUUUAUUGUAGUAAUUUAUAUUAAAAAUUUAAGAAAUUAAGAUUUAGUAAUAUUUAAUUUAAUAACUAAUUUUGUGCCAGCAGUUGCGGUUAUACAAAAAUUAAAAUAAAUUUUUUUAGUUUUUAAUAAUUAAAUAAAAUAAUAAUUUAAAUUUUUAAUUGUUAAGUGAAAUUUUAAUUAAAUAAAAAAUUAUAAAAAAUUUAUGAUUUAAUAAAUUUUAUAAAAAACUAGGAUUAGAUACCCUAUUAUUAAAAAAUUAAAAUUGAAAUGCUAAAAUAGUAUAUAAUUAUUUAUUGAAACUUAAAUAAUUUGGCGGUAUUUUAGUUUAUUUAGAGGAAUCUGUUUAAUAAUUGAUAAUCCACGAAUAAAUUUACUUAAUUUAAUAUUUUGUAUAUCGUUGUUAAAAAAAUAUUUUUAAAUAAAAAUAAUAUUUUAAAAUUAAAAAUAAAAAUUAAAUCAGAUCAAGAUGCAGAUUAUAAUUAAGAAUAUAAUGGAUUACAAUAAAGUUAUUUAGUUGAAUUUUAAUAUGAAAUUAUUAAAUGAAAAUGGAUUUAAAUGUAAUUUUAUUUAAAUUAAUGAAAUGAUUAAUUAUUAAAAUAUGUACAUAUUGCCCGUCGCUUUCAUUAAUAAAUUGAAAUAAGUCGUAACAAAGUAGAGGUACUGGAAAGUGUUUCUAGAAAGAA